UUCACCCUGUACCCCGUCCCCGGCGGCUGCACUCUCUGUCCCGCGCUGGCAAAACUUGUCCGUCUCCAGCGCUUGCUCGGCAAUCCCGCGGCGCCCUCCUCGGCUCUCACUGGGCCCGUCAGUCCGUCCCUCCGGCUCGCGGAUUACAGUGUUAGCCAAUAAUCCCCAAUGGAGGAGAAGAUUAAUGCCAACCAGGCCCGCCCCCACCUCAGCCUCCAAUCUCCGCGGCUGCCGGAGAAGCGUCAUGCGCCCCCCUCCACCCCAGAUGGGGCACGAGGGGGGAGACAGGGAGGGGAUGCCGCCGGAGCCAACGCAUCAGAGGGAGUCGGGCACAGGCGCACAAGGCGAGAGGGGAGGGCAGUGCGCAAUGGCGCUCCUUUGGGAGAGGGCCGCGUGCUGCUCUCGGUCAGGCGCUGAGGCCCGAAGGAACUCUGGCAAACUCGACCGCGAUCCUGAAGGCUUUGACUCCGGAGGAAUAGAGCUCUGUACGACUGCUCUGGAGUCUUCCCCACAACAGUAGGUCCAGAUCUUCUUUUUUACCAUCGCCACAUCCAUUCUUAACACGUAACUUCCAAGCGAGUGUGUCAGAGAUUGCAGCAUUACGAAGAGUCGUCGAGAAGCGUGGGCUUUCCUUCCGAGUAACUCUCUUAGGCUCCGGGAAUAAACUCAUCAUCGGU